AACUCUCAACCCCCUUGUUUUGUAACGAAGCAGGCGUGGGCUUGGAUUAUGGCUGUCUGCUGGACUCUUUAAGUAGAGAUCGGCUCGGCUGAAAUACACGAGUAACCCAGUUUGAAUAUUAACGGCUUGACUCGGCGUAAUAGCUUUAUUUCGCUGAGGACGUUUCAUAUCAAGAUAGUGGUGCUUCUAAUGCGUCGUAGCGUCAGCUGCACAACCUUUAAGC
rnacentral:misc_RNA from 1 species